UACGUAGGGUGCGAGCGUUAAUCGGCAUUACUGGGCGUAAAGCGUGCGUAGGCGGUCCGCGAAGUCUGAUGUGAAAGCCCCGGGCUCAACCUGGGAACUGCAUUGGAAACUAACGGGCUCGAGUGUGGCAGAGGGGGGUGGAAUUCCACGUGUAGCAGUGAAAUGCGUAGAGAUGUGGAGGAACACCGAUGGCGAAGGCAGCCCCCUGGGCUAACACUGACGCUCAGGCACGAAAGCGUGGGGAGCAAACAGG
rnacentral:rRNA from 1 species